UUGGUCAAAAGCUCCGCUGCCGCUUUCACGCCCAACCUUUCCCAUCCUGGAAUCCAACUCAGAAUGUUGGCUGCCCUGCCUGUGAUUAGCACGUGUACUGUAUCCAUGAGAGAGACAGACGCUGGGCAGGCCAUUCAGGUUUCGACUCGUCUUACUAUUGAGAAUGCCUAUUUAUUAGUCUAUCGGGAUGUACGAAAUCAACGUCUGGAAGGAGAUAGGCCCACAUGAGCACCUGGACCAUCAGUGUCGCAUUCCCAACAUGUCCCUGAGCUGCUUCAGCUGGACACGCCCAUUGCUCAGGCUAUAUUUCAUCGCAUAUGAAUCUUUUGCCCCUCGAUCUCUUUCGAAUCCGUGUCUGAUCUCCUUCUUAAGUUCACCUGCCAAGUGCGGAGGCCAUCAGUGAUCGAAAGCACCUAGGAGGAUUUGGCAAAGCUAAUAAUCUACAUAUGAAGCGCACAUAUUUUACACGCUGUCUCGAAACCUUGCCGGAACAGUGUUUAAUCGAAAACGUGUGCAUCUGACAUAUCCCAAUCAAAUUUGGGCAUCGAUCUGUGCUGAAAGUCUGAAGUAGAAGACUUUCCAGAGUAAAUAGAGAAUUCCACCUUGAGAAGCAACGGGAGCACCCUUCACCGCCCUCAGGA
rnacentral:lncRNA from 1 species